rnacentral:lncRNA from 1 species
AAAAGUGAUUUAGGAUAUACAAAAAGAGUGUCCAUAUCACAUGGAUUCGUUCCAGUGGGACAAAGACGAUGUAGACGACCGUGUUUCUUGUCUUGUACGUUCCUCAAACCAAGCAGCUUUCAAGAAACUCGAGCUUCGACCUGCUGACAUUCACCCAAAUCCAAACAGUAUCGAACCAUCCAAGAACAUGAUAAUUAAAAAAUAAUAUAAGUUGAAAGUCUCAUUUAAUAAGUAUCAAAAUAUAUGUAUCAUUUUAAAUUAAACUAUAUACCAUAUAAAAAUACAUAAAUAUCUUAAUUUUGAAAUUUAUUUUGAACAUUUUUUAAUAAAAAAAUUGAAAAAAUAUUGACAAUUUAAUUUUUUAAUAUAUUAUAAAUUACUUAAACCAUUAAUCCCCCAGAACGCAAGGCGCGGAUUUUAACCUAGUUGCUCAGUAUUUGGAAGUAACCCAAUACUUUUCUCAUCUCACGUAUAUAAAUAUGAUAAAUUUUUUAGGAUAUACUUUUUAAGUUUUUGUUACAAAAAUAAUUUUCAGUGAAAAAAAUGACUAAAAAAGUUUUAUUAAAAGGUAAAAGUACAUUUUUACCCUAGGAUUAACUAAUAUAGACUUAGGGUUUAGAGUUAAAGGGUGAACUUUUGCGUAUAAGGUUUCAAAUUUUAAAAAAUUAAAAAUAAAUAUUAAAAAAUUUAAAAUAAAAAAUGGUUAUUUUGGUCAUUUUCGUUUUUGAAGACUAUAUUUAUAAUAAAAAAAAAACUAUCCGAGAGAAUUGUCCUAUAAAUAGUGUACAUAACUAAGCGGUACAAAUAAAAAAAAAAAUCUAUCUAAAAAUGGAGAAAUGCUUUGCUUCGAUGAUUUUCCUGGCUUCUUUUCUUCUUCUUGUCCUUUUAAACCUUGAACUCGUUCAUGCCGUCGGGUGUGCCGGAAGCUUAUUCAACAGUAACAGCACCUACGCUCAGAACCGUAACAAUCUCUUCUCUACUCUUGCUUCAAAAGUCGUUGCCAACGGUGGACUCUACAACGAUUCACUCGGCCAAAAUCCCAACAGAGUUCAAGCUCUUGUCUUCUGUGCAAGAGGCGUUGAGAAAGCUUGUAUUAGUUGUGUCCAAAAAGUGAUUUAGGAUAUACAAAAAGAGUGUCCAUAUCACAUGGAUUCGUUCCAGUGGGACAAAGACGAUGUAGACGACCGUGUUUCUUGUCUUGUACGUUCCUCAAACCAAGCAGCUUUCAAGAAACUCGAGCUUCGACCUGCUGACAUUCACCCAAAUCCAAACAGUAUCGAACCAUCCAAGAACAUGACCCUUUUCACUAAACAGUGGGAAGCAACAGUUAAUCGGACUAUCAAGGUUGCCACGGAAUCUAAUACUUCCUCG